UAGCAUUAUACAGCGAAACUGCGAAUGGCUCAUUAUAUAAGUUAUCGUUUAUUUGAUAGUACCUUACUACUUGGAUAACCGUGGUAAUUCUAGAGCUAAUACAUGCUAAAAAUCCCGACUUCGGAAGGGAUGUAUUUAUUAGAUUAAAAACCAAUGCCCUUCGGGGCUCCUUGGUGAUUCAUGAUAACUUCUCGAAUCGCAUGGCCUUGCGCCGGCGAUGGUUCAUUCAAAUUUCUUCCCUAUCAACUUUCGAUGUUUGGGUAUUGGCCAAACAUGGUUGCAACGGGUAACGGAGGGUUAGGGCUCGACCCCGGAGAAGGAGCCUGAGAAACGGCUACUACAUCCAAGGAAGGCAGCAGGCGCGCAAAUUACCCAAUCCCGACACGGGGAGGUAGUGACAAUAAAUACUGAUACAGGGCUCUUUUGGGUCUUGUAAUUGGAAUGAGUACAAUUUAAAUCCCUUAACGAGGAACAAUUGGAGGGCAAGUCUGGUGCCAGCAGCCGCGGUAAUUCCAGCUCCAAUAGCGUAUAUUAAAGUUGUUGUGGUUAAAAAGCUCGUAGUUGAACCUUGGGCCUGGCUGGCCGGUCCGCCUCACCGCGUGUACUGGUCCGGCCGGGCCUUUCCCUCUGUGGAACCCCAUGCCCUUCACUGGGUGUGGCGGGGAAACAGGACUUUUACUUUGAAAAAAUUAGAGUGCUCCAGGCAGGCCUAUGCUCGAAUACAUUAGCAUGGAAUAAUAGAAUAGGACGUGUGGUUCUAUUUUGUUGGUUUCUAGGACCGCCGUAAUGAUUAAUAGGGACAGUCGGGGGCAUCAGUAUUCCGUUGUCAGAGGUGAAAUUCUUGGAUUUACGGAAGACUAACUACUGCGAAAGCAUUUGCCAAGGAUGUUUUCAUUAAUCAGGAACGAAAGUUAGGGGAUCGAAGACGAUCAGAUACCGUCGUAGUCUUAACCAUAAACUAUGCCGACUAGGGAUCGGACGAUGUUAUUUUUUGACUCGUUCGGCACCUUACGAGAAAUCAAA
rnacentral:rRNA from 1 species